rnacentral:rRNA from 1 species
UGGGGAAUUUUGGACAAUGGGGGCAACCCUGAUCCAGCAAUGCCGCGUGAGUGAAGAAGGCCUUCGGGUUGUAAAGCUCUUUUGUUCGGAAAGAAAUCGCUCUGGCUAAUAUCCGGAGUGGAUGACGGUACCGGAAGAAUAAGCACCGGCUAACUACGUGCCAGCAGCCGCGGUAAUACGUAGGGUGCGAGCGUUAAUCGGAAUUACUGGGCGUAAAGCGUGCGCAGGCGGUUGUGCAAGACCGAUGUGAAAUCCCCGGGCUUAACCUGGGAAUGGCAUUGGUGACUGCACGGCUAGAGUGUGUCAGAGGGGGGUAGAAUUCCACGUGUAGCAGUGAAAUGCGUAGAGAUGUGGAGGAAUACCGAUGGCGAAGGCAGCCCCCUGGGAUAACACUGACGCUCAUGCACGAAAGCGUGGGGAGCAAACA